UCCCUAAUGGCUCAGAUGGUAAAGCGUCUGCCUACAAUGCAGGAGACCCGGGUUCGAUCCCUAGGUUGGGAA
rnacentral:tRNA from 1 species